GAGCAUUUGACCAAGUACUUGGAUUCCUUUAAGGCAUCAUGUGUGAUGCAACCCGAGUUUCUGAUGUU